rnacentral:lncRNA from 1 species
UCUAUAUAGGAAUGACAAAGCUCCCCUACCUAAUAAUCAUCCUAACACUAAAUAGAAGGAACCCACUCACCUUUGUCCCAGUAGUCACGGCUUUGGAAGUUAUUCCUCGUGAUCUCCUUAUUUGCUGCAAAAUAAAGUUUUCUUGAUGUGAUAACCCACCUGGUGUAGUUUCUCUCUGUGACUCACCAAGGAGCAAACUCACAGUAGUUAGAUUUUAUCUGGGCUUCCCCCAUUGCACACAUGUGGGAGUUCAUCACUAAAAUUCUGGCCCAGAAUUCACUGCCUCAUUUGCAACUAGCCAGGACACUGGAAAAAAAGAUUGCCCUUAAAGGUUUGAGCUAAUCCUUCCACACCAACUCGAAUGCCCCCAUACCUACCUUUGAAGGAAGAUUCUCCCCAUAUAGGCCCCUCCCAGGGUUGAUGGGACUCCAAAGGAUUUUCCAAUAAACAUACCUGUUAUUCCCUCAAAAGGCUAAGGGGAAACUAAAAUUAAAAUUAAUGGAAAAUCUUGCCAAAAUCUGGUGGAUACCAGGGCCAACUCUGCACUUUGAACCCCUCUUGCUUUUAGGCUUCAGAUGGUAUCCUGGGAAAACAGACAAAAAGCCUAAGGAUGAGAAUUCUUAUUGGUGCCGAUCUCCUGGAUCUCUGGAGUCUGACUGAAAGGAAUUGUGAAUUUUCACACUGUGAAACUGUCCCUUCCUUUCCAAGUCUAGACACUUGGAACUUGGUUUGGGGGUAACCAUUGGUUAUCAAUCCUUUCUUUCCCAGAGAUAACUAUUGCCUUCUUUCUUGUUUGUCUCAGUUUUUGUCCUGAGAACUUGGCUUGGCUGCCUACUUAGGGCACAUAGGUUGUCACAUCUUGCAAGUACAGGCAGCUCAAUAGUUAGGUUAGAAGCCAAAAUUAUGGCCAGACCAGAAAUGUGGGUUGCAGGUAGGAUCAUACCAACUCUUGCCAGCUCUUGGGGGGAUUGUCUAAGUCCUUUCUUUUGGCAAUGUUUGGGAGUGACUCUGGUCCUGGGGAGGGUAGUAGCUAUUGCACCCUCUUCUAGGACACUUCUUGCACUUUGCACAACUUGCAAAGUUGUUCAAUACUUUGUCCUGGAUGAAACUUAACAAGAUGUUUGAAAGGAUUUAAGCAACUCCAAUUCUCUGACAAAUUAAAAAAUGACUAUCCUUGUCUUACAAAUUGAGUUUUUGCAAGAACAGAAAAAGCCCAUCUAUCCUUUUUUCUUUCUCUAUUUUUUUAAUUGAAGUUCAAUUUGCCAACAUACAGUAUAAUACUCAGUGCUUAUCCCGUCAAAUGCCCCCCUCGGUCCCUGUCACCCAGUCACCCCAUCCCCCACCCACCUCCCCUUCCACUGCCAGUUGUUUGGUUCCUAGAGUUAGGAAUCUCUCAUGUUUUGUCACCCUUCUUUGUACCAACUUGAAAAUCUUUCCUAUUUAUCUCAAAAGGCUCCUAGGUACUGUAAAAAUUCUGGGUUUAGGGAACAACAGUCUUGUUUUGAGGAACUUGCAUUCUUUGUCUUUGAAAUAUAAAUGUUCUAAGUGGUCUUCUCUAGGAGCUGAGAACCAUCUGUUUGAAAUGCAAACCUUAGGGAGGUAAUUCUUAUCAAGAAGGAGGGAAAAGGAGGAUGACUGGGUGGCUCAGUGGUUGAGGUCUGCCUUCACCUCAGGUCGUGAUCCCGGGGUCAUGGGAUAGAGUCCCACAUCAGGCUUCCCACAGGGAGCCUGCUUCUCCCUCUGCCUAUGUCUCUGCCUCUCUGUGUCUCUCAUAAAUGAAUACAUAAAUAAAAUCUUAAAAAAAAAAAAAAAAGAAUCUUAAAAGCUUUUGUCACAAAUAUUACCAGAAAGUUUAAGCCAUCUGAACAGGUAAUCUUAACUCAUUUCAUCUGUCAGAAACACAAUUUGGAUUCAACUUUUUUUUUUCUUUUUAAAGAUUUUAUUUAUUUAUUUGAUAGAGUGAGAGAGAGAGCAAGCAUAAGCGGGGGGAGGGACAAAGGGCAAGGGAGAAGCAGACUCCCCACAGAGCAGGGAGCCCAAUGUGGGGCUUGAUUUCAGAAACUUGAGAUCAUGACCUGAGCUGAAGGCAGACACUUAGCCGACUGAGCCACACAGGCAUCCUAACUUUUAUUUAUAAUGUGAGUUUUGCAUUAUCAAACCUGUCUCAUGGCUAAAAUUUAAAAAAUAAAAGCUAGGAGAUCUCUGCAUAAAAUAUGGUUAUGCAUGUCUAUAUAAGUAGUUACAGAUAUGUGACUUAUCUACCUCUAGACGGUGCUGCCAAAAUUUAUUUGUAGACAGUUCUAUUUAAUUGACUUAAAGAAAAUCAAAUAUUUAUAUAAAUCAAGUAUACUCUCGGAAAUAUAGAAAACUAACUCAAAUUUUUUUUUUUUUAAGAUUUUAUUUACUUAUUUGAGAGAGAAAAGGAGAGAAUGGGGGGGGGGCAAAGAAAGAGGCAGAAGCAGACACCCCGCUGAACAGGGAGCCUGGACUCUUAGAUCAUGACCUGAGUCAGACACUUAACCACUUAACCAACUGAGCCACCCAAGUGCCCCUAACCCAAAUGUUUUUCAAGUUCGUAUGAUCUAGAUAACUUUGGGGAGGGGUAAACUAGUUUAAAUUUGUUGGUUUAAUUAUUUUGUUAAUUUUUUAAAGACAUUUGUUUAUUUGAGAGAGAAUGUGUGUGUGCAUACACAAGCAGGGGGAGGGGCAAGAGAGGAAGAAUCUCAAGCAGGCUCUGACCUGCUGAGUGCAGAGCCCAACGCAGGGCUCGAUCUCACCAUCCUGAGAUCAUGACGAGCAGAAACCCAAAGUUGGCCACUUAACUAACUAAGCCAACCAGGUGCCCCCUUGUUGGUUUAAUUAAAACAGGCAUGCCUUUAGAGUUAAAAAAAAAAAAUGCUGACAUACAAUUUUUAUUCUACCCAGGCUUACCAAAAGUCAAAUAAAUUCAUGUUGAUGUGGGAAACAAAGACAGAAGAGAAAUUACGAAAUGUCCUUACUACCUACAGCCCAUUGACAAGUCCUUGAAAUACUCAGAAUGGCAUUCCUCUAGGGACUCAAUUCCCUCAAUGUUAACACUUUGCUAAGGGCAAAAGGCAAUCUUAGCCCAAUCCCCAGGAUCCUUUAAGUCUAUUUUAGCAUAUAAAAAUUCCUUUAGGGGCACCUGGGUGGCUCAGUGGUUGAGCGCCUUUGACCUAGGUCGUGAUCCUGGGGUCCUGGGAUCCAGUACCACAUUGGGCUCUCCACAGAGAGCCUGCUUCUCCCUCUGCCUAGGUCUCUGCCUCUCUGUGUCUCACAAGAUAUCUCAAGUAAAUAAAGCCUUUAAAAAAAAUAAAAAAUUCCUUUAGAAAUUUCCUUUAUCUCUAAACUCAAGAUACGUGUUGGCAAUCAUCCCCCAAGCAUAUGGCCCUCCAGUAUAUCUGAAGGGUCUCAUGACUAAGGUUUUAUUAGACAGUAGUAAAUGACCUUUUCCCAGCUAGCCCCCUCAAGGUCCUGGAACUUUGCUUCCAAAAUUCCUUAGAGACUUACACUAUCCCUAACCCCCUCAAUUUUAAAGUAUGUAAUGAGCCACUCAUCAUGACCCUAGUGCAGUUCUUUCUCCCCAUGGGUCUUGUCCCUGUGCUUUAAUAAAAUCAUGUUUUUAUCUCAAGAAUUCUAUCAAGAUAUCUCAAGAAUUCUAACUUGGGCAUCAGCUUCAAGCCCUAACAUCUUUCUACAUCAAUAUUAUCUCUGUUACAGAAUUUGUCAGCAAGAAAGAUAACUGGGGUACCUGGGUGGCACAGCUGGUUAAAUACCCAACUCUUUUUUUUUUAAAUUUUAUUAUUUAUUUAUUCAUGAGAGACACAGAGAGAGAGGCAGAGACACAAGCAGGCUCCAUGCAGGGAGCCUGACAUGGGACUUGAUCCCGGGUCUCCAGGAUCACACCCUGGGCCAAAGGCAGGGGCUAAACCGCUGAGCCAUCCGGGGAUCCAAAUACCCAACUCUUAAUUUCAACUCAGGUAGAGAUCUCAGGGUUGUGAUAUCGAGCCCCAUUUAAGAUUCUCUCUGCCCCUCCCCCUGACCCCUGCUCGCACGUGCACACAUAGAAAGAAAGAAAGAAAGAAAGAAA